CACUUUAGGAAUAGUUAGCGGUAAUAGAUGGAUUCCUAGCACCGUUCGGAUGUUGCCCUCAAGACAAACAGCAGGGGUGGAUGGAGUCUAGGGUGUUUGAGGAAGCUGGCAAGGAUGCUGUGAUUGAGGCUUGGGAUGGAUGCAGUCUUAGAUCUCCUGCCUGGGCUUUCUCCAUACUAACAAAGGGCAACCAAGAGUUCGUUGCUCAUUGAGAAUAUCUGCUCAGGACUCUUUCGAUCUUAUCACACAGACUGGAGCUCAGAGUCAGUUACAGAGGGAGAGGACUGGCCGAGCACCCAUCCAUCCAGGGCCGAGUUGAGACAGCCAGGCAAAGUGAUAUACUCACCUGAGAAGCAAAGACUGGUGACCAAGAAAACCUCAUGUUAGGAAGUAUUUUGAAAGCCCAUGAGCUGCCAUAGCGAAGUACUACUGACCACGUGAUUCAAAAGCAGAAGUCUAUUUUCUCAUCAUGUGUGGGGCCAGCAGGCUGAGAUGAAGAGGUGGGGAGAUGAGAUGGGUGACGUUUCUGAGUAAAGCUGGAAGAGGCCAGACUCUUGGACAUGGUGCAAAGAAAAAGGGAGCCAUGCGAAGGGAGCUCCUGUCUUGGCAGCACUCCAUUCCAUGACUCCCUGGGGCUGUCUCUGGUGGGUGCACCUGGGGGCCAGCCUCCCAGGAAGCCAGAAGCUGGUUCUACGAGCCUGUGACUCUCCCUCGUGGAAACGGACCAGGGAAAUGGCAUGUGCUCCCCUCAGCUGCGGCAUCCUACAAGUCCAUCGUUCUCCUGGCCCACAGCGAGGGAGAUCUCAUUGAUUAAUGAGAUACUCGAGGGUAAAGGGGGUUCAUAAAGGUCAUCUGCAUAAUGUGAGACAGUUCCCCCACUGAAUCACACACCUACGCACACAGUGACACACACAGACACACACAGGGCACAAGCACUUGUUUGUGGAGAAAUGCCCUUCACAGCAGCUUGUUCCCCUCAUUCACUAAAUUUUGCUGAGAAAAUGUGGGUGACUCGAAGAAAGAGUUAAGCGAGCUGAUGGGAAGUAGCGAUUAUGCCAACACAGUGUUGAGCCUUCUAAUUUUUAGCCAAUUGUUUAAAAGACGACAGACGGUAAUGUUUAUGAGAUGUAUAAUUCAAGGCAAAUCUGUCCAGAUAGAGAGGAUAAACGUCUUUUACUCGGCUAACAAAUGUCGGGCAGCAUCUAGAUAAACAAAAUCAACAGAACCCAAAGCACAUAAUUGCAACUUUGGAGAGAUGGGGAAACAAUUUUUCUUCAAAAAAGAAAGGAAGGGAGAAAAGAAUUAUGUGUGCUUGAAUAAGGAGUUGAGAUUUUUCUAUCCUUCAGGGCCAAUCAAAUGCAUUAUCAGUCACAGGUGAAAACAGGACAGAUCCCAAGGUUGGGAGAGGAGGAGGCCUGUGUGCCGUCUCCAGGUCAUGCUGCCUGCCAGCUUUGCAGUUUCCCCCAACUUUUGUUUUGAGCCAGAUAGCAUGAUCUUUGUUUCAUUAAUAUUUAAGAGUAAUUUCGAUUGUGCCAGAUGAUCUUAAAGCUCAUUUAAAUCAGCUUGAAGAUAAUAUGAAGCUUUCUCCCAGCAUAAUCUACUGCCAUAAGUGACGGCGUCAUCUGCAUAUAAAUGACGGCCGGAUAUGAUAAUGAAUAAGCAAGGUGAUCAAUAAAGAAUGACAACUGCUUUUGAUUUCAGAUCAAUCUCCCAGAGACCCCUUCUUCAGUUUGCAGAUCUUGAGAUGCAUUGUCUUUUUGGUCCUAAAUUUUCUAAAGAAAACACAAAAGGUUUUUUUUUUUUUUUUUUUUUUGUGUGUGUGUGUGUGUGU